GCCGCGUUCGUCUAGCCUGGUCUAGGACGCCGGCCUCUCACGCCGGUAGCACGGGUUCAAAUCCCGUACGCGGUA
rnacentral:tRNA from 12 species